rnacentral:misc_RNA from 1 species
ACAAAACUGCGUGAGGGAUAGCAGUGAAAAGCCCACAGACAAAUGAAGCGAAGCGGAAUUAGUCGAUGACUUGCAACGAAUAGCCCGACCCUUU